rnacentral:rRNA from 1 species
UACGGGGGGGGCAAGCGUUGUUGGAAUUACUGGGCGUAAAGGGUUUGUAGGUGGCUUGUUAAGUCAGACGUGAAAUCCCUCAGCUUAACUGGGGAACUGCGUCUGAUACUGGCGAGCUUGAGUGCAGGAGAGGAACGCGGAAUUCCAGGUGUAGCGGUGAAAUGCGUAGAUAUCUGGAGGAACACCGGUGGCGAAGGCGGCGUUCUGGACUGCAACUGACACUGAGAAACGAAAGCCAGGGUAGCAAACGGG